GAACGGCAGCGGGGAGGAGCUUGCCUCUCUGCCGGCGAGUGGCGAACGGGUGAGUAAUACAUCGGAACGUGUCGAGAAGAGGGGGAUAACCACCCGAAAGGGUGGCUAAUACCGCAUAAAUUCUGGGGAAGAAAGCUGGGGACCUAGGAAUAGGCCUAGCGCUUUUUGAGCGGCCGAUGUCGGAUUAGCUAGUUGGUGAGGUAAAGGCUCACCAAGGCGAAGAUCUGUAGCGGGUCUGAGAGGAUGAUCCGCCACACUGGGACUGAGACACGGCCCAGACUCCUACGGGAGGCAGCAGUGGGGAAUUUUGGACAAUGGGGGCAACCCUGAUCCAGCCAUGCCGCGUGUAUGAAGAAGGCCUUAGGGUUGUAAAGUACUUUUGUUAGGGAAGAAAAGUCAGCUGUGAAUAAUGGCUGAUACUGACGGUACCUAAAGAAUAAGCACCGGCUAACUACGUGCCAGCAGCCGCGGUAAUACGUAGGGUGCGAGCGUUAAUCGGAAUUAUUGGGCGUAAAGCGAGUGUAGACGGUUAUUUAAGCCAGAUGUGAAAUACCCGAGCCUAACUUGGGAGGUGCAUAUGGAACUGGGUAGCUAGAGUGUGUCAGAGGGAGGUAGAACUCCACGUGUAGCAGUGAAAUGCGUAGGGAUGUGGAAGAAUACCGAUGGCGAAGGCAGCCUCCUGGGAUAACACUGACGUUGAGGCUCGAAAGCGUGGGGAGCAAA
rnacentral:rRNA from 1 species